rnacentral:rRNA from 1 species
CCUACGGGAGGCAGCAGUGAGGAAUAUUGGUCAAUGGGCGCGAGCCUGAACCAGCCAAGUAGCGUGAAGGAUGACUGCCCUACGGGUUGUAAACUUCUUUUAUCAAGGAAUAAAGUGAGGCACGUGUGCCUUUUUGUAUGUACUUUAUGAAUAAGGCUCGGCUAACUCCGUGCCCGCCGCCGCGGUAAUACGGGGGAUCCGAGCGUUAUCCGGAUUUAUUGGGGUUAAAGGGAGAGUAGAGGGGUGGUUAAGUCAGGUGGGAAAGUUUGCGGGUCAACCGCAAAAUUGCAAUUGAUACUGGCAGUCUUGAGUACAGGUGAGGUAGGCGGAAUUCGUGGUGUAGCGGUGAAAUGCUUAGAUAUCACGAAGAACUCCGAUUGCGAAGGCAGUUCACUGGACUGCAACUGACACUGAGGCUCGAAAGUGUGGGUAUCAAACAGGAUUAGAUACCCCUGUAGUC